GUGCAAAUUGUAAUUUAAAUGGUAACGUUUACGUUUGUUUAUGUUUUCUUGUCUGUGUUCAUAGUCUACGUGCAUAUUUAUGUACAUUGUAGAUACGAUACAACGUAAAUGUGGGAAUGUGUGUAUAUAUCUAUAGGAGUAAAAGCAGGUGCGUACAUAACAACAUAACAUAACGAUGAAAAGAGCCCGUGGAGAGAAAUGCAUAAGAUUGUGAGCCACAUGACGAUCAUAGACUGGCAACGGAGCGCGUACAUACCACAUAUGUAUGUACAUACAAACGAGAUAUAAUCGCAUAAAGUAAAACAAAGUGCUCGGUUUGUACGCUGGGAAUAACAUUAUCAAUGAGGAUACUUAAAAACGCUUGAAUUAUUACGAAGCUGACGGAGGAGAUUGACCAUUAAUACAUACGUACACUGUAUGUACAAUCAGUCUGGAGGGAACGGCAAGUUUGAAAUUGUGGUCUGUAGGCUAUUCACAAGCUGCGGACUGUGAGAAGCGAGUACAGAGUGCAGAGUACAGAUACAGGUCACCUAGUCCACCAAA